CGGAAUCGCUAGUAAUCGCGGAUCAGCAUGCCGCGGUGAAUACGUUCCCGGGCCUUGUACACACCGCCCGUCACACAUGGGAGUUUGUAACGCCCAAAGUCGGUGGCCUAACCUUUAUGGAGGGAGCCGCCUAAGGCGGGACAGAUGACUGGGGUGAAGUCGUAACAAGGUACC
rnacentral:rRNA from 1 species